GGUUUAUAGAGGUGAUUUAUCGUACCGUGCGUAUCAAUCAGUCUUGGCCGCAUUGUCAAACUACACACGCCUCCCAGGAGGAGACAGACUCCUUCCCGAUCGGUGAUUCCAACUAUAAUCCCAGAAGGCGUCUCCUUCCAGAUCUGUGCACAUUCCAAAACUCUCAUAAUGAAGGCUCUUAUUCUCGUUGGAGGAUUCGGAACCAGAUUGAGGCCACUUACCUUCAGCAUGCCCAAACCACUUGUUGAUUUUGGAAACAAACCCAUGAUUUUGCAUCAGAUUGAAGCUCUAAAAGCUGCUGGAGUGACUGAAGUUGUGUUAGCUAUCAAUCAUCAACAACCAGAUGUCAUGUUAAAUUUUGUGAAAGAAUAUGAGAAGAAGCUAGAGAUUAAGAUUACGUUUUCCCAGGAAACUGAACCGCUUGGGACAGCAGGGCCUCUCGCGUUGGCUCGGGAUAAGCUUGUCGAUGAAUCAGGCCAACCCUUUUUUGUACUAAACAGCGAUGUUAUCUGCGAAUACCCGUUGCUCGAGAUGAUCGAAUUCCACAAGACUAACAACGCUGAAGCUUCAAUUAUGGUGACCAAGGUUGAUGAUCCUUCCAAGUAUGGUGUGGUGGUUAUGGAAGCAGCUACUGCGAGAGUUGAAAGUUUCGUAGAGAAACCGAAACAUUUUGUGGGGAACAAGAUAAACGCUGGGAUAUACCUCCUGAACCCAUCUGUUCUCGACAGGAUAGAGCUGAGACGGACUUCGAUUGAGAAAGAAAUAUUCCCUAAGAUAGCCGCAGAGAAGAAGCUUUGCGCGAUGGUCCUACCUGGCUUUUGGAUGGACAUUGGUCAACCGAAAGAUUACAUAACCGGGCAAAGCUUGUACCUGAAUUCUCUAAGAGAGAAAGCUUCUCAGGUAUUGGUUACAGGGGAUAACAUAAUUGGGAAUGUUCUUGUCGAUGAAAGUGCGGUCAUAGGAGAAGGUUGCUUGAUCGGACCUGAUGUGGUGAUUGGUCCGGGAUGUGUGAUUGAUUCAGGUGUUAGAUUGUUGGGUUGUACUGUAAUGCGUGGAGUUUGGAUCAAGGAACAUGCGUGCAUCUCUAACAGUAUCGUCGGAUGGGAUUCGACUGUUGGAAGGUGGGCUCGGGUUGUUAACGUAACGGUUCUUGGCAAAGAUGUUCAUGUUGCCGAUGCAGAGGUUUACAACAGCGGCUCUGUUAUCGAAGAGCAAGCGUCUGUGAAACCGGAGAUCGUCAUGUGACUUUUAUAUUCAGUAUCCAGAACUUCUGUUGUAUCCGUAUUAGUCUUCUCGUUUAAUCUAUGAUGACUAGCAUAAUAAAAAUGGUAAUCACAUUAGUCAACUUCAAAUGGGAGCAUAACUGAAUGUACAGUUUAGAAGGAAGACGGAGUAAGGAUGGUCGGUUAGGUCUAUUGAGGUAGUAAACACAA